GGGGGAUAACAUUUGGAAACAGAUGCUAAUACCGCAUAAAUCCAAGAACCGCAUGGUUCUUGGCUGAAAGAUGGCGUAAGCUAUCGCUUUUGGAUGGACCCGCGGCGUAUUAGCUAGUUGGUGAGGUAAGGCUCACCAAGGCAAUGAUACGUAGCCGAACUGAGAGGUUGAUCGGCCACAUUGGGACUGAGACACGGCCCAAACUCCUACGGGAGGCAGCAGUAGGGAAUCUUCCACAAUGGACGCAAGUCUGAUGGAGCAACGCCGCGUGAGUGAAGAAGGCUUUCGGGUCGUAAAACUCUGUUGUUGGAGAAGAAUGGUCGGCAGAGUAACUGUUGUCGGCGUGACGGUAUCCAACCAGAAAGCCACGGCUAACUACGUGCCAGCAGCCGCGGUAAUACGUAGGUGGCAAGCGUUAUCCGGAUUUAUUGGGCGUAAAGCGAGCGCAGGCGGUUUUUUAAGUCUGAUGUGAAAGCCCUCGGCUUAACCGAGGAAGUGCAUCGGAAACUGGGAAACUUGAGUGCAGAAGAGGACAGUGGAACUCCAUGUGUAGCGGUGAAAUGCGUAGAUAUAUGGAAGAACACCAGUGGCGAAGGCGGCUGUCUGGUCUGUAACUGACGCUGAGGCUCGAAAGCAUGGGUAGCGAACAGGAUUAGAUACCCUGGUAGUCCAUGCCGUAAACGAUGAAUGCUAGGUGUUGGAGGGUUUCCGCCCUUCAGUGCCGCAGCUAACGCAUUAAGCAUU
rnacentral:rRNA from 1 species